rnacentral:misc_RNA from 1 species
GAUGAAGAACGCAGCGAAUUGCGAUAAGUAAUGUGAAUUGCAGAUUUUCAGUGAAUCAUCGAAUCUUUGAACGCACAUUGCGCCCCUUGGUAUCCCGAGGGGCAUGCCUGCUCGAGCGUCAUUUAGGCCAUCAAGCUAUGCUUGGUCUUGGGUGCGGUCUGAGCGACCCACCCGCAACUCUGUCAGCGGCAACCGUUUGGUCCCUAGGCGUAGCAAAAACAUUCGUCUCAGGGCUCCGCAGGUGGCUGUCUUAAAGAACGCAGUCUGACUUGAGAGAGUCUCACGCGCACACAAAGUUUGACCUCGGAUCAGGUAGGGAUACCCGCUGAACUUAAGCAUAUCAAUAAGCGGAGGA